rnacentral:rRNA from 1 species
CCUACGGGAGGCAGCAGUGGGGAAUAUUGGACAAUGGGGGGAACCCUGAUCCAGCGACGCCGCGUGAGUGAAGAAGUAUUUCGGUAUGUAAAGCUCUAUCAGCAGGGAAGAAAAUGACGGUACCUGACUAAGAAGCCCCGGCUAACUACGGGCCAGCAGCCGCGGUAAUACGUAGGCGGCAAGCGUUAUCCGGAUUUUCUGGGUGUAAACGGAGCGUAGGCGGUGCAGCAAGUCUGAUGUGAAAGGUCGGGGCCCAACCCCGGGACUGCAUUGGAAACUGGUGGACUGGAGUAGAGGAGAGGUAAGCGGAAGUCCUGGUGUAGCGGUGAAAUGCGUAGAUAGUAGGAAGAACACCGGUGGCGAAGGCGGCUUACUGGACUGUAACUGACGUUGAGGCUCGAAAGCGUGGGGAGCGAACAGGAUUAGAUACCCCAGUAGUC